CCUACGGGGGGCAGCAGUGGGGAAUAUUGGACAAUGGGGGCAACCCUGAUCCAGCCAUGCCGCGUGUGUGAAGAAGGCCCUCGGGUUGUAAAGCACUUUCAGUGAGGAAGAACGCCUGGUGGUUAAUACCCAUCAGGAAAGACAUCACUCACAGAAGAAGCACCGGCUAACUCCGUGCCAGCAGCCGCGGUAAUACGGAGGGUGCGAGCGUUAAUCGGAAUUACUGGGCGUAAAGCGCGCGUAGGUGGCUUGAUAAGCCGGUUGUGAAAGCCCCGGGCUCAACCUGGGAACGGCAUCCGGAACUGUCUAGCUAGAGUGCAGGAGAGGAAGGUAGAAUUCCCGGUGUAGCGGUGAAAUGCGUAGAGAUCGGGAGGAAUACCAGUGGCGAAGGCGGCCUUCUGGACUGACACUGACACUGAGGUGCGAAAGCGUGGGUAGCAAACAGGAUUAGAUACCCUUGUAGUC
rnacentral:rRNA from 1 species